GAUGAACGCUGGCGGCAUGCCUAAUACAUGCAAGUCGCGCGAGAAACUCCUUUAGGGUAGUGGACAGCGGCGGACGGGUGAGUAACGCGUAGAAACAUACCUCAAGGUGAGGGAUAAGGAUCGGAAACGGUGUCUAAUACCGCAUACUGUCUACGGACAAAAGAUUUAUCGCCUUGGGAAUGGUCAGCGUCUGAUUACCUAGUUGGUAGGGUAAAGGCCUACCAAGGCGAGGAUCAGUAGCGGACCUGAGAGUGUGAUCGGCCACAUUGGAACUGAGACGCGAUCCAAACUCCGACGGGAGGCAGCAGUGGGGAAUAUUGCACAAUGGGCGAAAGCCUGAUGCAGCAACGCCGCGUGAGCGAUUGAGGCCUUCGGGUCGUAAAGCUCUGUCCUCAAGUAAUAUGAUGACGGGACUGGAGGAGGAAGCCCCAGCUAACUACGUGCCAGCCGCCGCAGUAA
rnacentral:rRNA from 1 species